rnacentral:lncRNA from 10 species
GAUAUUUAGAAGAUAAAGGAAGUCUGGACUUGGUGCUGUGGUGCUUCAACAAUUAUCAACACAUGGCCAACUUUGUUUCAGGUAUACCCUCCCUCAUGGCACACACCAGGUUAUUUUGAAGCAAAUCCUAGACGUCAUCAAACAGUUCAAAUUGCCCAAGUGUCUCCUACACACUUCUUUUUUCUUUUACAGUUUGUUUGAAUCUGGGUCCAAAUAAAGUCCACACAUUGCACCUGGUUGUCAUGUCUCGCUCAUCUUGGGUCCUGCCUCCUCUCUACCCCCUCACCUCCUUUCUCCUUCUUUUCUUUUCUUGCAAUUUAUCAGUUGAAGGCAUUGAGCCAUUUCUGGGCCUUAUUCUUGUGAUGUGAUUUAACAUGUUCCUCCAUGCCCUGCAUGUCCUGUAAACUGGUUCUUAGAUCCAGUGGUUGGUUAGUCUCACGUUCAGUUUUCUGGUAAAAACACAUCAUGAGUGACGGUUUGUUCUCCUGAUUCCAUUGCAUCAGGACGCCUGCUUUUCCCUGUUUUUCUAGUGUUUAGGCUGAGCAUUGGGUUCAGGUGUAGUCAGACUAGGCAACAAUUAUAAAAUUCCCCGUCCGUUUUUCACCUAAUGGUUUAGUUGAUCAUCACUGCCUAGCUCUAUUAUUUCAUUAGGAGUUGCAAAAUUGGGAUGUCCUAAUUCUGUCAUUCUGCAGUAAGAACUUGCCAUCAUCAAUUUGUUUACCAUGAGAUACAGGUCAUACAGGAAAGGCAGGAUAAAUGUGUGGGUUUUUUCUUAUGAUUUACCAGUUUUCAGAAAAAUGAGUUGGUUCUCUAGCAUCUUGAAAAAGUAAUUAGUUGUUUUUAAUAUCAUUAUGAACUUGUACAUUUUAACAUCUUU